rnacentral:snRNA from 1 species
GCAGGUGAAGGCAAACGGGCUGCGACAUCUGUCACCCCAUCGAUGGCAGAGGUUGAUUCCGCUGACCUGGCUGGCUAGGCGGGUGGCCCCUUCCUCCCUCACCGCUCCGUGUGCGUCCUUUUAUGAGGUCGAAUAGAGGACGACCUUUCGUGAACAGAGGAGGGCAUGUCUUCAGUCAAGGGUACAUGAGUAGCUUCGCUCCCCUGGUGGAACGUCCGAGCAAGCUCUCUUAAAAUAGUGUCUUUCUAUGUAGCCCAGGCUACCCCCCAAUGCUUAAGUUCUCCUGCGUCUGCUCCUUGGGUACAGAGAUUAUAGG